rnacentral:rRNA from 1 species
AUGUCGGCGGCCGAGGGAAGGAAGACGGCGUGCGUCACCGGAGGGAGCGGCUACAUCGCUGCAGUACUCAUCAAGCUGCUGCUCGAGAAAGCGGUCAAGACGACCGUCAGGGACCCCGAUGACAUGGAAAAGAACUCCCACCUCAAGGAGUUGCAAGCACUUGGCCCCUUGGAGGUCAUCGGAGCCCAACUGGACGUAGAAGGUAGCUUCGACAAAGCAGUUUCUGGCUGCGAUUACGCCUUCCUUGUUGCUGCUCCGAUGAACAUGGAUGCAGCAGAUCCUGAGAAGGAUAUGAUCGAAGCCGCCGUCCAAGGGACUCUCAACGUGAUGAGGUCGUGCGUGAGAGCCGGGACGGUGAAACGGGUGGUCCUGACGUCUUCGGAUGCCGCGGUGUCCAGGAGGCCGUUGCACGGUGGCGGCCAUGUGCUGGACGAGGGCUCAUGGUCCGACGUCGAGUACCUCAGAACAAACAAGCCACCGAUUUGGGCGUAUGCGGUCUCGAAGGUGCUUCUGGAAAAGGCGGCGAACAAAUUCGCGGAGGAGAACGGCAUCAGCCUUGUCACCGUGUUGCCUGUGUUCACCUUGGGUGCCGCGCCGCUCUCCAAGGCCAAAACUAGCGUGCCCCUCACCCUCUCCCUGUUGUCCGGCGACGAGACAUUCCUGAACAUGCUGAUAGGCCUGCAAUUGAUUACCGACUCCAUGGCGAUAAGCCACGUUGAAGACCUAUGCCGCGCCAAGGUGUUCCUGGCCGAGAAUGAGUCCUCCUCCGGCAGGUACAUCUGCUGCAGCCACAACACUACAGUCCUGCAGCUCUCCCGUUUCUUGGCAGAGAAGUAUCCACAAUACAAUGUGCAACCUGAACGCUUUGAUGGAUCCCCGGAGAAGCCGAAAGUGUGUCUGUCGUCUGACAAGCUCAUCGGGGAAGGGUUCGUGUUCAAGUAUAAUGACCUGGGUGAGAUCUUUGACAACCUCGUCGAGUAUGGCAGGACCACAGGGAUUCUUCCCUACUGA